rnacentral:rRNA from 1 species
UGAGAGACUCUACGGCCACAUUGGGACUGAGAUACGGCCCAGACUCCUACGGGAGGCAGCAGUCGGGAAUAUUGCGCAAUGGAGGAAACUCUGACGCAGUGACGCCGCGUGCAGGAAGAAGGUUUUCGGAUUGUAAACUGCUUUAGACAGGGAAGAAAAAGACAGUACCCGUAGAAUAAGCUCCGGCUAACUACGUGCCAGC